rnacentral:rRNA from 1 species
AUACGUAGGUGACAAGCGUUAUCCGGAUUUACUGGGCGUAAAGGGCGUGUAGGCGGUCUUGCAAGUCAGAAGUGAAAUUCCUGAGCUCAACUCGGGCGCUGCUUCUGAAACUGCAGGACUUGAGUGCUGGAGGGGAUAGCGGAAUUCCUAGUGGAGCGGUAAAAUGCGCAGAUAUUAGGAAGAACACCGGUGGCGAAGGCGGCUAUCUGGACAGUAACUGACGCUGAGGCGCGAAAGCGUGGGGAGCAAACAGGUUUAGAUACCCUGGUAGUCCACGCCGUAAACGAUGAUCACUAGGUGUCGGCGGCCAUAGGCGGUCGGUGCCGCAGCAAACGCAAUAAGUGAUCCACCUGGGGAGUACGUUCGCAAGAAUGAAACUUAAAGGAAUUGACGGGG